AAGUCGUAACAAGGUUUCCGUAGGUGAACCUGCGGAAGGAUCAUUAACACGUAUCCAAACGUUAAACCCCCCUGUGAACCUUCACCUGUACUCGUACGUCCGUUAGAAAAAGCAGCAAUCCCUGGUAAAUCAUCGCCGAACAGUUUUCGAUUCAGGGAUGUCUGCAAGGAGCGUGCAUGUUGUGCGAGCAAGUGGCCUGGCAUCCCCAAGCAGUUAGUGUCUGAAAGUGUCAUUAACUGUGUAAGGAUACCAAAAACCGAACAACUGUUAACAAUGGAUAUCUUGGUUCUC
rnacentral:misc_RNA from 1 species